ACACGACUACAUUUAGAUACCCGUGUAGUCCUAGCCGUAAACGAUACUCGCUAGGUGUCGGCCACGGUGCGACCGUUGUCGGUGCCAUAGGGAAGCCGUGAAGCGAGCCACCUGGGAAGUACGGCCGCAAGGCUGAAACUUAAAGGAAUUGGCGGGGGAGCACCACAACGGGUGGAGCUUGCGGUUUAAUUGGAUUCAACGCCGGAAAUCUUACCGGGACCGACAGCAACAUGAAGGCCAGGCUGAAGACUUUGCCGGAUUAGCUG
rnacentral:rRNA from 1 species